AGAGUUUGAUCCUGGCUCAGGAUGAACGCUGGCGGCGUGCCUAAUACAUGCAAGUCGAACGCUGGAGAUCUAGCUUGCUAGAUCGAAGGAGUGGCGAACGGGUGAGUAAUACAUAAGCAACCUACCCACGAAGACUGGGAUAAUCUCUGGAAACGGGGACUAAUACCGGAUAGGUAAUCGGAAGGCAUCUUCUGAUUAUUAAAGGUUAAAAACACUGGUGGAUGGGCUUAUGGCGCAUUAGUUAGUUGGUGAGGUAACGGCCCACCAAGACGAUGAUGCGUAGCCGGCCUGAGAGGGUGAACGGCCACAUUGGGACUGAGACACGGCCCAGACUCCUACGGGAGGCAGCAGUAGGGAAUUUUCGGCAAUGGGGGAAACCCUGACCGAGCAACGCCGCGUGAGUGAUGACGGCCUUCGGGUUGUAAAGCUCUGUUGUAAGGGAAGAACGGUAGAUAGAGAAUAUCUAAGUGACGGUACCUUACCAGAAAGCCACGGCUAACUACGUGCCAGCAGCCGCGGUAAUACGUAGGUGGCGAGCGUUAUCCGGAAUUAUUGGGCGUAAAGGGUGCGUAGGCGGCCUGUUAAGUAAGUGGUUAAAUUGUUGGGCUCAACCCAAUCCAGCCACUUAAACUGGCAGGCUAGAGUAUUGGAGAGGCAAGUGGAAUUCCAUGUGUAGCGGUAAAAUGCGUAGAUAUAUGGAGGAACACCAGUGGCGAAGGCGGCUUGCUAGCCAAAGACUGACGCUCAUGCACGAAAGCGUGGGGAGCAAAUAGGAUUAGAUACCCUAGUAGUCCACGCCGUAAACGAUGAAUACUAAGUAUUGGGGAAACUCAGUGCUGCAGCUAACGCAAUAAGUAUUCCGCCUGUGGAGUAUGCACGCAAGUGUGAAACAUAAAGGAAUUGACGGGGGCCCGCACAAGCGGUGGAGUAUGUGGUUUAAUUCGACGCAACGCGAAGAACCUUACCAGGCCUUGACAUCCCUUGCAAAGCUGUAGAGAUACAGUAGAGGUUAUCAAGGAGACAGGUGGUGCAUGGUUGUCGUCAGCUCGUGUCGUGAGAUGUUGGGUUAAGUCC
rnacentral:rRNA from 1 species